GAUGAACGCUGGCGGCGUGCCUAAUACAUGCAAGUCGAGCGAACAGACGAGGAGCUUGCUCCUCUGACGUUAGCGGCGGACGGGUGAGUAACACGUGGAUAACCUACCUAUAAGACUGGGAUAACUUCGGGAAACCGGAGCUAAUACCGGAUAACAUAUUGAACUGCAUGGUUCAAUAGUGAAAGACGGUUUUGCUGUAAUCUAUAGAUGGAUCCGCGCCGCAUUAGCUAGUUGGUAAGGUAACGGCUUACCAAGGCAACGAUGCGUAGCCGACCUGCGAGGGUGAUCGGCCACACUGGAACUGAGACACGGUCCAGACUCCUACGGGAGGCAGCAGUAGGGAAUCUUCCGCAAUGGGCGAAAGCCUGACGGAGCAACGCCGCGUGAGUGAUGAAGGUCUUCGGAUCGUAAAACUCUGUUAUUAGGGAAGAACAAAUGUGUAAGUAACUAUGCACGUCUUGACGGUACCUAAUCAGAAAGCCACGGCUAACUACGUG
rnacentral:rRNA from 1 species